rnacentral:rRNA from 1 species
GGUGAACGCUAGCGGUGCGCCUAACACAUGCAAGUCGAGCGAGAACUUUUCUAGCUUGCUAGAAAACAGAAAGCGGCGAACGGGUGAGUAACACGUUGGAAUCUGCCCCCAAGUCAGGGAUAGCCAUUGGAAACGAUGAUUAAUACCGGAUGUGCUCUACGGAGUAAAAAUUUAUUGCUUGGGGAGGAUCCUGCGGUCUAUCAGCUAGUUGGUAAGGUAAAAGCUUACCAAGGCAAUGACGGAUAUCUGGUCUGAGAGGAUGAUCAGACACAAUGGAACUGAGACACGGUCCAUACUCCUACGGGAGGCAGCAGUGAGGAAUCUUCCACAAUGGACGAAAGUCUGAUGGAGCGACACCGCGUGAAGGAUGACGGCCUAACGGUUGUAAACUUCUUUUCUGAAGGAGCAUAAUGAGAGUACUUCAGGAAUAAGGGACGGCUAAUUACG